rnacentral:rRNA from 1 species
AUGGUUUCGGCUAUCACUUUAGGAUGGACCCGCGGUGCAUUAGUUAGUUGGUGAGGUAAAGGCUCACCAAGACCGUGAUGCAUAGCCGACCUGAGAGGGUAAUCGGCCACACUGGGACUGAGACACGGCCCAGACUCCUACGGGAGGCAGCAGUAGGGAAUCUUCCACAAUGGACGAAAGUCUGAUGGAGCAACGCCGCGUGAGUGAAGAAGGUUUUCGGAUCGUAAAACUCUGUUGUUGGAGAAGAAUGUAUCUGAUAGUAACUGAUCAGGUAGUGACGGUAUCCAACCAGAAAGCCACGGCUAACUACGUGCCAGCAGCCGCGGUAAUACGUAGGUGGCAAGCGUUGUCCGGAUUUAUUGGGCGUAAAGCGAGCGCAGGCGGUUUCUUAAGUCUGAUGUGAAAGCCUUCGGCUCAACCGAAGAAGUGCAUCGGAAACUGGGAAACUUGAGUGCAGAAGAGGACAGUGGAACUCCAUGUGUAGCGGUGAAAUGCGUAGAUAUAUGGAAGAACACCAGUGGCGAAGGCGGCUGUCUGGUCUGUAACUGACGCUGAGGCUCGAAAGCAUGGGUAGCAAACAGGAUUAGAUACCCUGGUAGUCCAUGCCGUAAACGAUGAGUGCUAGGUGUUGGAGGGUUUCCGCCCUUCAGUGCCGCAGCUAACGCAUUAAGCACUCCGCCUGGGGAGUACGACCGCAAGGUUGAAACUCAAAGGAAUUGACGGGGGCCCGCACAAGCGGUGGAGCAUGUGGUUUAAUUCGAAGCAACGCGAAGAACCUUACCAGGUCUUGACAUCCUUUGACCACUCUAGAGAUAGAGCUUUCCCUUCGGGGACAAAGUGACAGGUGGUGCAUGGUUGUCGUCAGCUCGUGUCGUGAGAUGUUGGGUUAAGUCCCGCAACGAGCGCAACCCUUAUUACUAGUUGCCAGCAUUUAGUUGGGCACUCUAGUGAGACUGCCGGUGACAAACCGGAGGAAGGUGGGGACGACGUCAAAUCAUCAUGCCCCUUAUGACCUGGGCUACACACGUGCUACAAUGGAUGGUACAACGAGUUGCGAGACCGCGAGGUUUAGCUAAUCUCUUAAAACCAUUCUCAGUUCGGAUUGUAGGCUGCAACUCGCCUACAUGAAGCCGGAAUCGCUAGUAAUCGCGGAUCAGCAUGCCGCGGUGAAUACGUUCCCGGGCCUUGUACACACCGCCC